CGUUGAAGCUGUGGUUGAAGCAAAAAGAUUUUCUCUUUCUUCUUCUCUCUAGCAAACUUGGAAGAAAAAAGAACGUCUUUGUUGGUUUGGAGGAAGAUUAAUUCAUUCAAGCUUAUUAUAUAUGGACAACGAAAUUAACAGACUAUCGGAAUUGCCGGAACCAGUUGUAGAACACAUCCUACCAUUCAUCCCCUUGAAAAAAAUACUUCAACUCAGUACAUUGUCCAAGAGAUGGCAAAAGGUCUGGUUCCCCAUUCCGCAAUUUAAUUCAAAAUUCUAUGAGUCAAAUUUGUACGAGAUUUUGGGCAACGAGAAAAAGCGAAAAAUCAAGAUAAAGAGUGAGGAGUUCAAUUAUUUUGUGGAGAGAACUUUAGUAAGCUGUUGUAGGCAAAAGUUACGUAUAAACAAGUUUAAUCUUAAAAUUUGGGUCAUGGAUGAACCGGAUUAUGUUGUUGCAAACCGUUGGAUUGGGUAUGCAAUCGAAAGCAAUGUAAAAGAGUUGAAUCUUGGCUUAAAAUCCUAGAGAAGCCUAAUGAGUAUCAGGUGCCUGAGAGUAUUCCAAGAGCAAAAUCAAUGAUUGUAACUUGAAGUCGAAGUCAUGCAUCUUACAGUGAUAUUAAUUUAUCUUCUUUGAAAAAGUUGGUUUUGUCGGGAGUUGAUAUAGAUGACCAGAUUUUUCGAAGUCUAAUUUAUGGUUGUCUUGUUUUAAAAGAGAUAGAAAUUGGACGAUGUUACGGGUUGAAAAAUAUGCAUUUGUCAGCAUGUCUUCCUAAACUCAUGUCGAUUUAGCUACUGUUCUGUUAUGAAGAACUUGAGAGUUUUGAGAUGGAAGCACCAAAUCUAAAGAAGCUAGUUUUAGAUUCACCCAUUGUGACAGACAAAUGGUUGAACUGCAUCUUUUCUAAACAUCCACUCAUUGAGAGUUUAGAGCUUCAUUAUUUAAUUAUGUAAGUUGGAAAGGAUUAAGAUUUCAAGUGAUCGCAUGAAGAGUUUGACCAUUCAUCAAUGCAGUCAUUUGGUUGGAGUUAACAUGCAUUGUUACUCCUAACUUACAUACACUCAAUUAUUUUGGUGAUGUUAUAUCCCUUUCUUCCAACGCUUUUACUCUAUCGGAAGUUAAUCUCAACCUUUAUAGCGAUACUCCUUUGGAUGUCGAAAAGAUUGAAUUCCUCGCAAAGUUAAGUCAUCCGAAAUUAUUGACUUGGAGUACCUUAUGUGACAAGAGUUUGAUUGCUCCAAAAGAAUUAAGAGAAGCACUAUCAUUCCCUUUAUAUAAUGGAGCUGUUUGUUCUCAUAUGAAACUCCAGUUUACAAAUUGAAAAAUCUAAGUUGUUGCAAACUUCUUCCAGUUCUGUGUUGGCGGCAUUGCUUAAAGACUAUCAAGAUUGAAUACUCCGAAGGAUUGACCGAUGUCAAAGUUCUAAAGAAAUAUUUUCAUAAGAACUUAGAAAUAUUAGAGAGCAUCCUAUAAUUUCAAGGACGUA